rnacentral:rRNA from 1 species
UACAGAGGUCCCGAGCGUUGUUCGGAUUCAUUGGGCGUAAAGGGUGCGUAGGCGGCGGGGCAAGUCUGAUGUGAAAUCCCGGGGCUCAACUCCGGAACUGCAUUGGAUACUGCCUUGCUAGAGUACUGGAGAGGGAACUGGAAUUUACGGUGUAGCAGUGAAAUGCGUAGAGAUCGUAAGGAAGGCCAGUGGCGAAGGCGAGUUCCUGGACAGUUACUGACGCUGAGGAGCGAAAGCGUGGGGAGCGAACAGG